CGUGAAGACACAGGGAGAAGACGGCCGUCUACAAGCCGAGGAGAGAGGCCUCGGGAGAACCAGCCCUGCCCACACCUUGAUCUUGGACUUCCAGCCUCCAAGACCGUACCAAGGCAGAAGCAUGCUGCGUGGCCAAAUGGCAGAACCAAUCCAAACCAGAAAAAUAGAAGAUGGCGAUGGGGUGCCAUUGCAGGAGGUGCCUCGCGCUAGGAGGGAAGAUCUGCGCAUGCCCCCAAGCCCCCACCCCGAGCAAUGAUGCAGAGAAGCCUCCACCUCCACAUCCUACAAGACGCCUGCUCGCCUUCCCUUGGGGAGAAGGUGUUGAGAACGUGAGCUCUGCCUCCUCCGUUCGUUGAUCAGUGAAUAGCGUUUCUGCUCUGCUGUUCCGAUCCUGCUCUGGUUCUACUGGCGCGGGCAGCUCCCGGCAAAAGGACCCACUUGCGGGUCACCAGUCCCUUAGGGCUCGGUAACAGGAGUGUGGGAGACUAGCCGGGGGAGGCAGGCAGUGCCAGGUCAUGUCUUGGAGAAGGGCUUCGAGGUAAGAAAGAGGUGCCUCGUCUCUAAUCCAGAGGUGAUAAAUGGUGGGCAGUCGAGGUGUUUUAAGCAGGAGGGUGCUGCAGUCGAAUUCGCGUUUUUACAAGACCCUCUAUAUGGAUGAACCCCAUGUAUGGGGGCAGGGGGACCACUUCCGGGACUAUUAUGAGGCUAGGGCAAUGGAGGCUGAGCCCGGGAGCAGCAGUGGAGAUGCGAGAGGAAAGCGAUAUCGAGUGAUAUUGAAGAGGCAGAAGUGACAGGACUUGGUGAUGGGCUGGGUCUGGCGGGACAAAGGAGAGGGAGAAGUCAAGGAAGCCCCUGCACAGAAGUUUCUGGCUCAGAUGGCGGGCUUUUAGCAAGAAUUUGAGCCCGGGUCUCUCUGCUUCCAUAGCCCUUCAGACUGGCGCUAAGAGAGGAAGAGCCAACAAAUCAGACCUGUGGUCGAGAACUGUCAUCAUGCACAUAGAUCCUAGGAAGGAUCUGAAGCCAGGCAGAGCCCAGGUGAGAGUGGGCCACCCUUCGUGGAAGUGUUGCUUACAGCUGGUUGCUGGGAAUGAACGAGCAGGGUCAUCAGUGUGAGAUUAACGGGUUGAUGAGAUUUGUCAGCCAAGCCAAAGGUCGGAUUUCUAUGAAGAAUGCAGUUGCAGAAUCGAGUUGCUUUUUUUUUUUUCUUUUGAGGAAGAUUAGCCCUGAGCUAACAUCUGCCACCAAUCGUCCUCUUUUUGCUGAGGAAGACUGGCCCUGAGCUAACAUCCAUGUCCAUCUGCCUCCAGUUUAUAUGUGGGACGCCUACCACAGCAUGGCUUGCCAAGCGGUGCCAUGUCCGCACCCGGGAUCUGAACCAGCAAACCCUGGGCUACCAAAGCGGAACGUGCACGCUUAACCGCUGCACCACCAGGCCAGCCCCAAGUUGCUUUGUUUUUAAACUACAAAAUCCACAUAAUGUCACAUCACUGCAAAGGCAGGCGUGUUCCCUCUGGGUUCUGGUCGUGGGGCAAUACUAUAUUUUCCAGAUAGCUCCUGAUUGCAAUGAGCCAAAUUGGGGACCAAAUACUGAAUAUAUGACCUUGAAAGCAAGAACAGUAACCAAAGUGACUCUGCCUUCGUGCGCCUGCAGUCCCAGCGUUCCUCCGAGCUCGGCAACGUUUGACGUAAAGCAUCAGCCGCAGUGGGAAAACAAAAAUGCAACCUAAUCGGGUUGCUGAAGGGCUAGAAGGGAAACGGGUGGGGGAGUUUAUGUGGUUUUUAAAAUAGGAAGUUCUACCCCAAAGUGUGUCAUUUCUGAAGUGAGGGAAGUUCCCACAGGCUGCUCAAAGAGCCUGCACAAUAGCAGUUUGAUGUUUUCAACACAUUUAUGGUUCAUGAUAGUAAACACACGGCUUUUCUCCAGAUCAUACGGUGUUCUUGGGAUACGAAGUGACUAAAAUAUACCCCAAGCUUGGCUGCUCUGGGAUCUUAUGAAGCCAAAGAGAAACUCCUGCUUAGUCUUGUGAAAGAUUAGUUGCUUAUCAAGAAAAUGCAGUUUUUCGAACGUUUAAAGAGACUCAUUUGUGAGGAGAAUGGCGGUAAAGAAGGGGUGGUCGUCACCAUUACAGGAAAGGAAGCCUGGCUGAGUGAUGCUGAGGGCAGCUUGUGAAGAAGAGGAACUCUCACACAAGCCAGCGAGGUCCUCCAUAACUUAGGGCAUCUGACUCAGGUCAUAACUGAAAGAGACCCAAAUUAGACUCCAGUCAGGAAGCCCAGCUGCCAUGGGAGAGACGCCCUGUGCAGAUUUCUGAGGCGGGCGGGCUAGCCAGCGGCCCCUCUCACUGUGAAUGGCCCCAGUGUGCUCUGGCUCUGGUGUUCCAGCCACCCCCAGGGGGAGGGGAAGGCCUGAAUGACCCAGUGUCCCUGUGCAGGGGUCCUGACCUCAGAGGCUUUUCUGAAGCCUCCCAGAGCUCAGGAACUCCUCCAGACUGUGACAAAGCAAUUCUUCAGGGAGAUAGAGGAAGGAAAAAAAAAAAGAAAGACUCGAGAAUCAAGAUUGCCUCAUCUUAACCAAAUGCUUAAGAAGAGAUUGGCUCAUACCUUGUGUUUGCAUUCAAAGCUAGUGUUUUCAUUACUAAAGUUGAAGUUUGGCAAUUGCAAAUCAUCUGAUAAUGUAUCAGUGGUGUCAAAAGGGGAGGCUGAAAAAAAUGGAGGAAUGUGUUAGCAUGUGUGGUAAUACAGACCAGGGACUCUGGGGUCAAAUCCUGAGACCGCUACUUGCGGGCUGUGUGACUUGGGUGAGUCAUUUACCCUCCGUAUGUCUUGGUUUCCUCUGAAGAAUGGAGGAAAGUAAUGGGUAGGAUCCUUGUAAGGCCUAGGUGAUUUAGUACUUGGAAAGGCUGUGUAACGGUCACUUGGAGAGACUGAACGUCCAGUGCAACACACAUGUAUGUGUCAGGCACUGGCUGUCUGGGAGUCCAGCCUGGGAGCCGAGCACGUCCAUCCACCCCUCCACAUACUCUUCUAUCUUCGGCUCCUGUGACCCGGUUUUCUUUCUCCACCCCUCUGAUUCCUUUCCAAGCUCACCCCCGUCUGCUCAGCUCUUCCCUGUGAAGCUCCUCCAGGGUUGCUGCAAGGCCCUCUCCUGUUUCCCUCUUCUCUUCUCACUAGGCUAUCUCAUCCACACCCACCGUGUCCACUGCCAGCGACACACAAACGGCGCACAAAAUCACAUCUCCAGCUCAGACCUCUGGGCUGAGCUCCAGACCCAGGCAUCAACUGCACUCUUGACAGGUCCUCCUGGAUGGCUCAGAGGCACCGCAGACUCAGCAAGCGAAAAGCCCAACUCAUGCCUAUACACCCACAGCUGACCCCCUUCCGGGGCAACCUGGUUCAGCGACUGGCACGAUGCUCCAUGCAGACCUAGGAGGUGUCUUCACAUUCCUCUUUCCCAUCCAUUUUACCCACAAGCCCUGUCAGCUUUGCCUCCUAGGCACCUUUCAAACGCGUUUGCUCGUGUCUCUCCAUCUCCGCCAGGAUGACCCCAGGCUGAUUCUCCUGCUUGGCCGUUGUCUUCUAACUUCUAACACAAAGUGCGAUGGGGGAAAUGGUUAACAAACACACUGACAAACCAAUUAGGUAGUUUCUCAUAAUGUUAACUGCUGUGAAGAAAAAAUACCAGGGAAGUAGCCUAGAGAGUGACCCGGGGUGGUUGGGAGCGGCUUCUGAGGAGGCGAUGUUCGAGGAUCUUGAGGAAGAGGACUCCAGGCCUGCUUCAGAUUCACAGGUCCUGAGAUGAGAGUAAGCUUGAAGGGUUUAAGGGUUGGAGGCGAUCACAGGCUGGAGGUAAGAGAAAGAAUGGGGAGAUGAGGUGGGCAGGUCCACACAGGUCAGCUCUUGUGUGGUUUUAGAGACCUCGGGAAGGAGUUUGAAUUUUAUUCUAAAUGCAACAGGAGGCCAUGGAUGGCUUUUAAGCAGAUCCAUCAGCUCCCAGGGGAAUUGAUUACUCAUACCAAUUCCUCCAGCCCCACGUGAUUCUGCAACCAACAGUGUGCUUGUCACAUAGAGGCACUCGAUUAACACAUGUUGCUGCAGUAAAUGAGUGACAAUUCUUGAAAUCCAGUUUGUUAUUCUCUCUAAUCAAGGGUGACCACCAGGGUCGCUGGCCCAGUGAGUGUGUCUCCAUCCGUGCAGAUCCACAGACCGGAUAUCUAGGGGUAUCGUGACUUUCCUCUUCCUCAGCAGUUUGUCACCAAAUCCUGUCCGCUCCACCACCUAAACAUCUCUCCAGUCUGUUCCCUCGCAUUCUUACAUAGGAAGUAGCAAGCUAAACCUCUCCACACUGGCAUCAGAGUCACUACUGUCUGUGACUCCUGAAUCCAGGGUCUGGUCAUUCAGAACGUGAAAGGGGUUCAUUUCUGCCUGUGUCAGAGGCUCACAUUCAUCCUUCUGGAGGGGGUGGUCUGGGAGCAUGCCUAGGAAAACUGGACCCAUGGCCUAUGGCUCUUCAUACACUGGCCGAUCGUUUACUAUCUCUGGGUUUGUUUGAGCUGAUUUGUAAAACAAGUGUAGUGAUAUUUGCCUUAUCUCUUUCAUGUUGGGAUAAAAUAAGUAGCUUUGAGGACCAGAGAGCAUCGCAUCCAUGAGUAAGUGUGAAGUAUUGUCAGGCCAGGGGCUGGUAUUCCAACAGGCAAAGGGAGCCUCUGGCUCAUGUUAAGGUGGGGAAGCCAACAGAGCUGGAGCUGGAGUUGGAGUCAGCCGGCCUGACUCGAGGGCACUCGCUCUUUCUGUUUGCUGCAGCCACUGUUCUGUGGGGAAAGCUUGGUGAGGCAUCUCCAAGCCUGGUGGAAACCUGCGCACAGCCUCAGCCAGGCGCCAGGACCCCAAAGCAUCAUUGUGUUGCCUGCCAUUUAUUUCCAAAGAUAAUAUUGUCUUUUGUCCAAGUUUGGAUUUCACCAAACUUGUCAUUACCACUGGCAGUGGAAAUGAAGGGCUGUCUUGGAGCCACCAACUUGAGGCCCACACAGAGAAGGUCUGGGAAGCGGCCGCCUGGAGCUGCCCUGAAUCCUGAGACUUCAGGCCCCACUUUGCUAACCUGGCCAAAUGGUUGAGUGCGGAAGAAGAUGGAUUUGUCUGGACAGGAGAGAAUAUUCCAAGAUUCAAAUAACUCUAGAGGCCUUUCUUUUGGUAACCAGUCUGAUACACAUAGAGUCAAGCCAAGCAGAAUAAAAAGGCGGACAGCCUGGUCACACCCUCUCCCCUUGACCCUGCCUCUCGGCCACCACUCGCUCUCCUCAGAGAGCCCUGGUCUCCUCCUCACUCUCCUGCUCUGGCCUGGCACCGCCAUGGUCUUCUCGCUGAUUUUCUUUCACAUUUUCAAAAGGAGCAAACUGUCGAUCUUUUGAUUUUCCUCCAACUGACCACAUUCUAGCCCAUUUAAGCGUGCGAGCUCUUGGUUGUGCCCCAUAAGUCUUGUCUAAACCAUAGCACUUGGGGGCCAAGAGGGAACAGGGCAUUUGAUCAGCACUUCUUGGACGUUCCCAGGACUUUCACCUGAUGUCUCGUGGCCCCAGAGCCCCGUGAGGGUGCUGCCUUGACCCCUGUUUACAGAUGGAGGAGGAACUCUACAGAGAGCUUGGGCAGCGUCCCCUGGGUGGCCCAGGGCCAAGAUGCAAGCCCUGCUUUCUCAGGGAAGAGCUAAGCUAGCGAUUUUGUUUAUG
ensembl:lncRNA